rnacentral:rRNA from 1 species
CUACGGGGUGCAGCAGUGAGGAAUUUUGCGCAAUGGGCGAAAGCCUGACGCAGCAACGCCGCGUGAGUGACGAAGGCCUUCGGGUCGUAAAGCUCUGUCAAGCGGGAAGAACCCGCGGACGUCCAACAAGCGUCCGCGCUGACGGUACCGCUGAAGGAAGCACCGGCUAACUGCCGUGCCAGCAGCCGCGGUAAUACGGAGGGUGCGAGCGUUAUUCGGAAUUAUUGGGCGUAAAGGGCGCGCAGGCGGCCCUGAAAGUCAGAUGUGAAAGCCCGGGGCUCAACCCCGGAAGUGCAUUUGAUACUGCAGGGCUUGAGUAUGGGAGAGGGAAGUGGAAUUCCUGGUGUAGAGGUGAAAUUCGUAGAUAUCAGGAGGAACACCGGUGGCGAAGGCGACUUCCUGGACCAAUACUGACGCUGAGGCGCGAAGGCGUGGGGAGCAAACAGGAUUAGAUACCCCGGUAGUC